rnacentral:lncRNA from 1 species
CCUCUUCGAUUUUUGAACAAGCAAUCCUGUCGGGGAUCUAGCUCUCGAGAUUCAGAGAACGGUGCCUCUUCAAUUUUUGAGAAAACAAUCCUGUUGGGAGUCUAACUCUUGAGAUUCGGAGAGCAGUGUCUCUUCGAUUUUUGAGAAAGUAAUCUUGUUGGAAGUUUGGCUCUCGAGAUUCGGAGAGUGGUUCCUCUUCGAUUUUUGAGCAAACAAUCUUGUUGGGAGUGUUUUCUCGAAUGUGAGUAAAGGUUG